GUAACACAGCAUGGUGGGGAAUUCCUGCUAGUGGCGUGAACAGAGCUGAGAGAGUAGCAAGCCGGGGAACGCCUGUCCUCUGGGCUUAGGGAAGGUUUCACAGCCGGGUUGCGUUGGAGUGAGUCUGCAAAGGAUGAAUAAAUCAAGGCACAGAGAAGUUACAGGACUUGGCCAAGGAGAGAUACAGGUGGUGGAACAGAGAUUCAAACUCAGGUAGUUUGGUUCCAGAAAAGUCUCCUUAUUCACUCACCAUGUAUUUAUUGAACACUUUUCUCCAUUCUUGACUUUUCUGAAUUUCUCCUUCUACUGAAUCCAAGGGCUUUUAUUUUAUGUAACAAAUAGAUACUGGGCUGCUACUGUGUGGCAGUUUCUGGAUUAAUUUACUUCUGGUAAAUUGUAUUAAUGUUGUAUAGUACAAGCUUAAAAACAAGCUCUUGAAAAUAUGCCCAUGCUCUGAAAAAAACCAGGCAAGGAAUCUUCUGGGCAUUCAUUUAAUUUGCCUUGUGCCUUCUGUCAGGAUCUUCUGGUUGUCGAUGCAUGUGGGGAACCAAGUAUACUUGCCACCAGUAGAGGGAGGAGCCAGAAGAGGUAAAAAUCAGGCUUUUAGAUGAUGGAGUUAGAGUCUAUGUAAAUUCCAAAAGCUGGUUUCUUCCAGAACCUUGGGCCCGUGGAAUUCAUAUUUGUAAAGCUGGGCAUGCAAAAUGAUGUUAUAGGAAGGUUCUCUUUGACCAAAUCUGCAUCAUCCUUGCUCUGCUUCAAAAUUACCUGAUGUCUGCCAUCUCAUCUGAAUGCUGGUCCUUUAUGACAGAAUAUCUCCAAGCAAUUAUAAUUGGUGAUUUUCUUCUAUUUCAGCUGUCAGCACGUUCUAUUGUUGUUUUAACUGUGUCUCUGUCUUUAGAUAAUAAAAGCACAGAAUGAAGGGACUGGGUAUCUGUGGCCACAUCUGUAAUAUGAGUUCUCUGUUCCCUGAGAACAUUCAGCAAGUACUGGUGAUAAAUGUUCUGUACUUGGGGAAAACAGGUUCUUCCUACUAUACUUUGAGGUAUUUAUCUCCAUUUCAUGGAUGACAACUUCAACUUCCAAAGUCAGGAAAUUCUCCUGGAGCACCAAGUGAAAGAAAGUGAUGCUACAGGAGUGUUCCUCACCCAGCCUGUCCAACAAUGAUGAUGCCUAAUUUACCAUUUAGCUUUGCAGCCUCUUACUCAUCUAGUAGUUUCCCAAGUUGCCUUGGGUGAUCCUUUCUAUAGCUGGAGAUGGAACUCCUAUUAACAACUCCUAGGAACUCGUAGUAACAACUAUUCAGCAUCUUAAUUUCUAGAUUCCAAUUUCCAGUGGGGUAAGUUGACUCUAACUUUUACCAACAUAUUUGGCCUCUAAUACAGCAAAACUCUCAGAGAAAACUUUUCUAUCCUCCCUUCCCCCUCAAAAGAAUCAAUAACAUUUAAGGAAAUGAUAACAUUAUACUAGCUGCAAUUAUUAUGAACUUUCACAUCUUCUGAUUUAAGCUAAAAUUCCUCAAAAUGUUAAAUGACUAAAAUGCUAGUGAGUAUCUGGCCUCAUUCCUCAUUCUUGGUGCAUCCAUCUCUGAGUCUCACUUGUUCCAACCCAAGGUGCCCGCUGAAUUUGGGUUUCCUCCAAAUGAUUUGAUAUCGUGGCUGGGUGAGUUACUCUUCAGCUUGAGUCAGGGGGGAAGAAUAUUAACACAGGCCACCUGGUAGAUUACCCCUUGGCAAACUCUGACUGCAGUGGACCAAAUGGUAUACUAGUGAUAUAAAAGUGUCAUGGCACUUCUGUGGUGCGUGAUGGAAACUGAGGGGUCAUUCCUUCUCAUCCUAUAACUGGCCCCCAUAGAAACACAAUCAUAUUAAUUCUGGAGAAGAACAAGGAGUGCCAGACUGUCCUCCACUGGGAAAGUGCUAAUUUGUGCAGCUGAAGACUGCCAGUUUCAGGGUGGUGAUUGACAGCUCUAAGCAGGAACAGUUUAUCCAGAGGUGCAGGGCAGAGAAGACUAUGAAUCACUUACUUUCAUAAAGCACUUAACUGUUUACACAGAUCCAGGGAGGGGAUUACACGGCAGGCGUCCAGGGAAGGAGGUUGAACAGCUAGAAUGAUCCCUUAUUGCAGAUCAAAGAAAGGAGGCCCAGACAAUGGACUUGCUUCAAGUGGCUUGUCUGAGGCCACAACUAGGGAGAGGUGGCAAAUCAGGGAUGAUGGUCCAGGCUUUCAAAUGCAAUGGGAUCUAAUCUAUCUAUGAGGGUCUCCAGGACUGGCUGCCAUGUGUUCCUAUAGGAAAGUGUCCUUGAACACUUCUGAGUGUGACAGGCUCCGUGGAAGAAAAUGCCCAUGACUUAGUUAGGUCACACAUGUCAUUGUUGAAGAAAAUGUGCUUCAAAAUUCCCAUUGCUCCUCCUCCUUUGAGAUGGAAACAUGCUGAGGGAGAUGAGGGAAGGUGUGAAGUGAGCACCCCAGGAGAGUCAAUCACCAGGCUAAACUAAGGCAGAUAUGCAAAUAGAAUUCCAGUAUGUUUGAUUUCCAUGUGAGAUGCCCGGCUGCAUUUUUCCAUCACUCCUUAUGGGCCUCUAAGGAGCUGUGAAAAGCACCUGGUCUCUAAGGACCAAUAUUCUGAAGUAAGCAGCUGGGAAAAAUCCUUUAAUAUGUCUUGAAAUGAACUCAUGAUUGGACCAGAAAUAUAUCUUCACUCAACAUGAGCACGUCAAUAAGCCAAAAAGCAGAAGUGCUUCCAAAGCACUUCAAGUGGGUAUUUGAUUAACAUCUCACAGCCCACGGCAGCUCCAAAGCGCAUUUGGAAAUUCUCUGCGUCCAAGUUGAACAGAAACCCAUGUGCCAGGCAAAACACGGGAGUGGGUCUCUGAACCAAAGCCGGAGCUUAUGGCUUUACAAGGAGAAUUUGCAGCAGGGGGCGGCAACUUCUGAAAAACAGGGAGUGGGUAGCUUUGUGAUCCUUAUUCUGGCAGGAACAGUGACAGCAGAGCCCUAGGGGGCCUGGCGAUGCCCCCACAUGUAUUCCCUUGGGCACAGUAUGGGCCAUUGUGGGAAGGGGCCUAUGGCGGGGAUCAGGGAGACAGCUGGAGGGGAUGGGUCUGGGUCUGUGGGCACCUACAAAGUGUCUGUUACUGGUGCAAAUGUCAGAUUACAAACCUCAGCUCACCAGUACAUCUCCAGCAUCUUGUGUUGAAUUUGGUGGCUCCCUAUCUUCUUUCUUUUUUGUCUUCCUGCCACCUGUUUGUGGAAGACACUAUUAGCUGUCAACUCAUCAGCUACACCUUCCAUUUUCUUUUGCUUACAGGACCACAGUGUAUUCACCCUUUUCUGAGAGGCUCCCAGUAAGGGAGGCUAGGCCCUUCCCCACACUAGGGACAGAAACCUUAGUGGUGUCAGGGAAUCAUAGUGAUCUCCCUCCAUUACUAAUAAACGAGAGAGUAGAAUGAUUACAAUGUGGAGUGAGAGGGUUUGGA
ensembl:lncRNA